GAUGAACGCUGGCGGCGUGCCUAAUACAUGCAAGUCGAGCGAACGGACGAGAAGCUUGCUUCUCUGAUGUUAGCGGCGGACGGGUGAGUAACACGUGGAUAACCUACCUAUAAGACUGGGAUAACUUCGGGAAACCGGAGCUAAUACCGGAUAAUAUUUUGAACCGCAUGGUUCAAAAGUGAAAGACGGUCUUGCUGUCACUUAUAGAUGGAUCCGCGCUGCAUUAGCUAGUUGGUAAGGUAACGGCUUACCAAGGCAACGAUGCAUAGCCGACCUGAGAGGGUGAUCGGCCACACUGGAACUGAGACACGGUCCAGACUCCUACGGGAGGCAGCAGUAGGGAAUCUUCCGCAAUGGGCGAAAGCCUGACGGAGCAACGCCGCGUGAGUGAUGAAGGUCUUCGGAUCGUAAAACUCUGUUAUUAGGGAAGAACAUAUGUGUAAGUAACUGUGCACAUCUUGACGGUACCUAAUCAGAAAGCCACGGCUAACUACGUGCCAGCAGCCGCGGUAAUACGUAGGUGGCAAGCGUUAUCCGGAAUUAUUGGGCGUAAAGCGCGCGUAGGCGGUUUUUUAAGUCUGAUGUGAAAGCCUACGGCUCAACCGUGGAGGGUCAUUGGAAACUGGAAAACUUGAGUGCAGAAGAGGAAAGUGGAAUUCCAUGUGUAGCGGUGAAAUGCGCAGAGAUAUGGAGGAACACCAGUGGCGAAGGCGACUUUCUGGUCUGUAACUGACGCUGAUGUGCGAAAGCGUGGGGAUCAAACAGGAUUAGAUACCCUGGUAGUCCACGCCGUAAACGAUGAGUGCUAAGUGUUAGGGGGUUUCCGCCCCUUAGUGCUGCAGCUAACGCAUUAAGCACUCCGCCUGGGGAGUACGACCGCAAGGUUGAAACUCAAAGGAAUUGACGGGGACCCGCACAAGCGGUGGAGCAUGUGGUUUAAUUCGAAGCAACGCGAAGAACCUUACCAAAUCUUGACAUCCUUUGACAACUCUAGAGACAGAGCCUUCCCCUUCGGGGGACAAAGUGACAGGUGGUGCAUGGUUGUCGUCAGCUCGUGUCGUGAGAUGUUGGGUUAAGUCCCGCAACGAGCGCAACCCUUAAGCUUAGUUGCCAUCAUUAAGUUGGGCACUCUAAGUUGACUGCCGGUGACAAACCGGAGGAAGGUGGGGAUGACGUCAAAUCAUCAUGCCCCUUAUGAUUUGGGCUACACACGUGCUACAAUGGACAAUACAAAGGGCAGCGAAACCGCGAGGUCAAGCAAAUCCCAUAAAGUUGUUCUCAGUUCGGAUUGUAGUCUGCAACUCGACUACAUGAAGCUGGAAUCGCUAGUAAUCGUAGAUCGGCAUGCUACGGUGAAUACGUUCCCGGGUCU
rnacentral:rRNA from 1 species